GAACGAUGAUUAUCUAGCUUGCUAGAUAUGAUUAGUGGCGGACGGGUGAGUAACAUUUAGGAAUCUGCCUAGUAGUGGGGGAUAGCUCGGGGAAACUCGAAUUAAUACCGCAUACGACCUACGGGUGAAAGGGGGCGCAAGCUCUUGCUAUUAGAUGAGCCUAAAUCAGAUUAGCUAGUUGGUGGGGUAAAGGCCCACCAAGGCGACGAUCUGUAACUGGUCUGAGAGGAUGAUCAGUCACACCGGAACUGAGACACGGUCCGGACUCCUACGGGAGGCAGCAGUGGGGAAUAUUGGACAAUGGGGGCAACCCUGAUCCAGCCAUGCCGCGUGUGUGAAGAAGGCCUUUUGGUUGUAAAGCACUUUAAGCAGGGAGGAGAGGCUAAUGGUUAAUACCCAUUAGAUUAGACGUUACCUGCAGAAUAAGCACCGGCUAACUCUGUGCCAGCAGCCGCGGUAAUACAGAGGGUGCGAGCGUUAAUCGGAAUUACUGGGCGUAAAGCGAGUGUAGGUGGCUCAUUAAGUCACAUGUGAAAUCCCCGGGCUUAACCUGGGAACUGCAUGUGAUACUGGUGGUGCUAGAAUAUGUGAGAGGGAAGUAGAAUUCCAGGUGUAGCGGUGAAAUGCGUAGAGAUCUGGAGGAAUACCGAUGGCGAAGGCAGCUUCCUGGCAUAAUAUUGACACUGAGAUUCGAAAGCGUGGGUAGCAAACAGGAUUAGAUACCCUGGUAGUCCACGCCGUAAACGAUGUCUACUAGCCGUUGGGGUCCUUGAGACUUUAGUGGCGCAGUUAACGCGAUAAGUA
rnacentral:rRNA from 1 species